rnacentral:rRNA from 1 species
UACGGGGGGAGCAAGCGUUGUUCGGAUUUACUGGGCGUAAAGGGCGCGUAGGCGGUCAGCACAAGUCAGUUGUGAAAUCUCCGGGCUUAACUCGGAAAGGUCAACUGAUACUGUGCGACUAGAGUGCGGAAGGGGCAACUGGAAUUCUCGGUGUAGCGGUGAAAUGCGUAGAUAUCAAGAGGAACACCUGCGGCGAAGGCGGGUUGCUGGGCCGACACUGACGCUGAUGCGCGAAAGCUAGGGGAGCGAACGGG